rnacentral:rRNA from 1 species
UACAGAGGGGGCAAGCGUUGUUCGGAAUUACUGGGCGUAAAGGGCGCGUAGGCGGCCUUCUAAGUCGAACGUGAAAUCCCCGGGCUCAACCCGGGAACUGCGUCCGAUACUGAGAGGCUUGAAUCCGGGAGAGGGAUGUGGAAUUCCAGGUGUAGCGGUGAAAUGCGUAGAUAUCUGGAGGAACACCGGUGGCGAAGGCGGCAUCCUGGACCGGUAUUGACGCUGAGGCGCGAAAGCCAGGGGAGCAAACGGG